UAAUAAUACAAUUAAAUUAUUUUAGUUUUAAUAAAUUGAUAAUUUUAAAUUUUAUAUAUAUAUUUAAUAAGUGAAAUUUUAAAUUUUGUAAAGAUUUAUAUUUGUUAAUGAUUUAAGAAAUUUUAGAUAUAGACUAGGAUUAGAUACCCUAUUAUUUAAAAUGUAACUUUGAAAACUAAAUUAGUAUAAGAUAUGUUCUCGAAAAUUAAAGAUUUUGGCGGUAUUUUAGUCUAUUCAGAGGAACCUGUUCUAUGAUUGAUAGUCCACGAUUUAAUUUACUUAUUUUAUUAAUUUACAUAUCGUCGUAGUUUGAAUAUUUUAUUAGAAUUUUAAUAUUCAAGAUUUUUAAUAAUAAAAAAAAUCAGAUCAAGGUGUAGUUUAUAAAUAAGAAGUAAUGGGUUACUAUAAUAUAAAUUUAAGAUAAUUACUUUUAUAGUAAUUUGAAUAAGGAUUUGAAAGUAAUUUUAAUUAAUUAAUUAAAAUGAUUUUAGCUCUAAAAU
rnacentral:rRNA from 1 species